GUGAACAGUAAGCCAUUUUUGGAACACUACACGUUUGGGCCGGGCUGUGCUGGUUUGCACAGUUGCAUAACACAUUGUCAAAAAGGCUGAAAUCUUGGAACACCAAAUUGGUGUUCUUGGUUGUUCCGACUUCAUUCAAGGCCCAACUUUCACUGUAGCAACUGCACCACUUCAAACCACUUGUUCUGAUUUGAGAACAACUAUAAACACAAAUAGGAACAUGUUCUAGGGCUAGAAGCUGUCUGGCAAGUCGCCGCCACUCCACUACUGCUUAAGAGCAAAUCGUGAUUUGGCCAGAUUCAAACUCAAAUCGACGACUGGAACUUCAGAGUACAAAGCCUCUGUGUGCAUCGCCUCUCUCUCUCUCUUCUCUGUAUUUCCGGCCGAUUAGUGUCGCAGCUGCCAAAGACUCCCCUACACAGUACAAAUCGACGACUGGCUCUGCAGAUCUGAAGCCUCUGUGUUCAUCGCCUCUCUCUCCACAGUACAAAUCUGUGAUCUGAUUUUCCGGCCAAUUUAGGACAACCACAGACGCCGGCCGCCGUCUGCAACCUCCGGUCUUCUUCUCCGGCGACGGUUUGCCAAUAAAAGGUCCACUCUUCUUCUCCCCAAGCUGUCUAUCUCUAUUUCACAAUUUGAUUAAUCCAAAUUCUCUACCUAUACAAUUGAUUAAGGACCAUCAGGCAUAAUAUUAAGAUAGUAAUUAAAAUAUACCAACAAAAAAUUAUGGACGAAUCUAUAUUUAAGUUUUAAAUAUUUUCAUUUAAUUUUUCUUAUUAUAUUUCAAAGUUAGCAGUAACAAAGGCAAUUGCUAAUGGGAGAGGUAGGGGUUCUUUAAUUUCAAUGGGUUUUGACGGCAAUAAAAGGCAAGAUCAUGAGAAAGUGCAAGGUCCCAUAUCUGUCCACAAUCUGACAUUACAAAGUGUAGGCCUAAAGAUGAAAAGCUGAAUAGAAUCUGGGGACGGAACCACAAAUCAAACUCGCAUUAGAAAAGAACGAACAUUCAACCAGAGUAGACUUUAACAAAUUACUAAUAUAGCUUCAGCUAUAGAUAUUUUUCUAGUGGUUGGUCAAGACUUUAGAAUAGCCUAAGGCUGGAGAUUUUUUAAUACAUGGAAAAAGUAAUAAUUCAAAGGAAAUUAACUACUUAAUUCAUCAAUGUUAACUCAAGUUUGACAUCUUAACAGUAUAUAUAACGAAUAUAUUAUAGACAGAGACAUCACAUGAUACUUAUAUUUCUGUAUGUUAAAUGAAUAUUUCUGUAUCGAUUUGAUUUGAGAAAUGAAAAUUUUAUUCUAUGAAAAUUUAUCUGAAGCGUGUCUUAUGCAUUGCCUAUGAUGGUUGCUUCAUUUCAACACUAAGAACAAAUUAAAUGUUUUUUUUUCCUUGGCUAAGGAAGUUUGGAAGUGCUUCAUGUCUUGCUGCAAAUGGGAGGGUGUCCUUCAAUAGACUAAUCUACAGGAUGUGGUCCAGUGGUUUGAAGCUCAAAGUUGCUAGAAAUCUAUUUUGUGCCAAUUUUGGGCAAAUUUGGACUAGAGAGGAACUCAGACUUGGUGAAGACAAGAAAAGAGAUAUUGGUUUGGUUGUUCCUUGGGCUCAGUAUGGAAGAUUGAUUUUGUUAGUAUUUUUUGUUUGAUCUUUGGCUGGAGUACUUGCUUUGUACCUCCAGUGUGUAUUUUGUAUCAGCAAUAAAAUUCGGAUGUGUGACCUGUUUGUGUUUGUUAGUA